rnacentral:tRNA from 1 species
CGGGCGGAGCAGAGGUGGUUGAGCCUCAGCUUCCCAAGCUGAGGGUCGCCGGUUCGAGCCCGGUCGCCCGCU